GACGUAGGGUGCAAGCGUUGUCCGGAUUUAUUGGGCGUAAAGAGCUCGUAGGCGGCUUGUUGCGUCGACUGUGAAAGCCCCGAGCUUAACUUGGGAACUGCGCUCGAAACUACUUGGCUAGAGUGUGGCAGAGGGAGGUGGAAUUCCACGUGUAGCGGUGAAAUGCGUAGAUAUUACAAGGAACACCAAUGGCGAAGGCAGCUUGCUGGGCUACUCCUGACACUGAGGUACGAAAGCGUGGGGAGCGAACAGG
rnacentral:rRNA from 1 species